AAGGCAGCAGGCGCGCAAAUUACCCAAUCCCGACACGGGGAGGUAGUGACAAUAAAUACUGAUACGGGGCUCUUUUGGGUCUCGUAAUUGGAAUGAGUACAAUCUAAAUCCCUUAACGAGGAACAAUUGGAGGGCAAGUCUGGUGCCAGCAGCCGCGGUAAUUCCAGCUCCAAUAGCGUAUAUUAAAGUUGUUGCAGUUAAAAAGCUCGUAGUUGAACCUUGGGUCUGGCUGGCCGGUCCGCCUCACCGCGAGUACUGGUCCGGCUGGACCUUUCCUUCUGGGGAAUCUCAUGGCCUUCACUGGCUGUGGGGGGAACCAGGACUUUUACUGUGAAAAAAUUAGAGUGUUCAAAGCAGGCCUUUGCUCGAAUACAUUAGCAUGGAAUAAUAGAAUAGGACGUGCGGUUCUAUUUUGUUGGUUUCUAGGACCGCCGUAAUGAUUAAUAGGGAUAGUCGGGGGCGUCAGUAUUCAGCUGUCAGAGGUGAAAUUCUUGGAUUUGCUGAAGACUAACUACUGCGAAAGCAUUCGCCAAGGAUGUUUUCAUUAAUCAGGGAACGAAAGUUAGGGGAUCGAAGACGAUCAGAUACCGUCGUAGUCUUAACCAUAAACUAUGCCGACUAGGGAUCGGACGGUGUUUCUAUUAUGACCCGUUCGGCACCUUACGAGAAAUCAAAGUUUUUGGGUU
rnacentral:rRNA from 1 species